UCGCCACCAAAGUCGUCUCCCCACGCCGCCAAAGCAUCUCCCCACGCCACCAGAGCAUCUCCCUCGCCGCCACAGCGUCUCCCUCACCGCCGCAGUGUCUCCCUCGACACCACAGCAUCUCCCUUCCCCCGCAGAACAUCCCCUCGCCACCACAGUGCCUCGCCUCCUGAUGGCGACGUCUCCCUCCCCAUCACAGUGCUUCUCCACGCAAUCAGAGCAUCUCCCCACGCAACCAGAGCAUCUCCCCAAGCCGGCGCAGCUACAGCAGGUCGAGGUCGCCCUCAUACAAGCGUGCCAGUGACGAGUCCCCCUACGCCAACGGGUAAGCUUUCAAUGCCUGAUCUUCAUCGUUCCUUGGCAUUCUAGUGGAGGCUAGGGGCUCACCGCUUCUGCCAUGCCGUGCAGCAACUCUGACGGGCGGGCCGAGCGCCGCAGCAGGAGCUGAGCGCCAGGGAAUGUCGUCUGUUCAAUGGACAAGCGCGCUUCCUCUGCAUCUGAGUAAAUGCUUCCCAACCAUCCCACUGCCCUGGGUUAGGACGUGGUUUAAUUUCCUGCAUGUCGCUCUAUAUUUUAUCAUGCUCGGCUUCUUCUCGUUGGUAAAAGUAUUUCUGAUUUUAAAGACUGGUUGGCUGUGACUGAGAUCUGUAAUCUCUGUUCUUCAUGUCUGUUGAUGAGGUCGUCGUCCCACCUAAAAGACUGCCCAGCCUUGCCGCGUCACCACCCUUUGACUCUGCUCCUCCCUCCUGGCCUCGUUCUUGCCACCUCCGCCGUAAAAGAGGAGCUCUCUCCGGCGCUCGCCCUCAGCCCUGCCCCAUAAAAACUCAUAGAAGAGGUCGGGGCGUGGGCUGCUCCAAGCGCGCCGGCAGGUAACUGGAAUCUGCUUUGAAAUCAGGUUCUUCACCUUCUCACUUGGCCAGCUACAGGGCCCCGGGAUCUGCUGGACAGCUCUCUCCCCAGCACCGUCGGCCCUCCAAAAGAUGACAAGGAACACACCUCCUCUGCGUCUUCUCAGUUCUGUCGGCGGCGCCAGAGGGGUUGACCAACCGGUGCCCAGUCCUUUCUGGGCAAGGAGGGAGAAAGUCGUCUCUUCUAAAAGGGGGGGGGGGGAGGGGAGCGUAGGAUUUCGCAGAGGAUUCAAUGCGGAAUUAUUCAAGAUUCGGUUCACGUAAAAUAUACAUUAUUUAGUUACACAUUCAU
rnacentral:lncRNA from 1 species